rnacentral:rRNA from 1 species
GAUGAACGCUGGCGGCGUGCCUAAUACAUGCAAGUCGAGCGAACAGACGAGGAGCUUGCUCCUCUGACGUUAGCGGCGGACGGGUGAGUAACACGUGGAUAACCUACCUAUAAGACUGGGAUAACUUCGGGAAACCGGAGCUAAUACCGGAUAAUAUAUUGAACCGCAAGGUUCAAUAGUGAAAGACGGUUUUGCUGUCACUAAUAGAUGGAUCCGCGCCGCAUUAGCUAGUUGGUAAGGUAACGGCUUACCAAGGCAACGAUGCGUAGCCGCCCUGAGAGGGUGACCGGCCACACUGGACCUGAGCCACGGUCCAGACUCCUACGGGAGGCAGCAGUAGGGAAUCUUCCGCAAUGGGCGAAAUCCUGACGGAGCACCGCCGCGUGAGUGAUGAAGUUCUUCGGAUCGUAAAACUCUGUUAUUAGGGAAGAACAAAUGUGUAAGUAACUAUGCACGUCUUGACGGUACCUAAUCAGAAAGCCACGGCUAACUACGUG